rnacentral:rRNA from 1 species
CCUACGGGUGGCAGCAGUAGGGAAUAUUGCUCAAUGGGGGAAACCCUGAAGCAGCAACGCCGCGUGGAGGAUGAAGGUUUUCGGAUUGUAAACUCCUUUUGUUAGAGAAGAAAAUGACGGUAUCUAACGAAUAAGCACCGGAGAACUCCGAGACAGCAGCCGCGGUAAUACGGGGGGUGCAAGCGUUACUCGGAAUAACUGGGCGAAAAGAGCGCGUAGGCGGGAUAGCAAGUCAGAUGUGAAAUCCUAUGGCUAAACCAUAGAGCUGCAUUUGAAACUGUUAUUUUAGAGUAUGGUAGAGUUAGGUGAAUUCUUGGUGUAGCGGUCAAAUCCGUAGAGAUCAAGCAGAAUACUCAUUGCGAAGGCGACCUGCUAGAACAUAACUGACGCUGAUGCGCGAAAGCGUGGGUAGCAAACAGGAUUAGAUACCCGAGUAGUC